UACGUAGGGGGCAAGCGUUGUCCGGAUUUAUUGGGCGUAAAGAGCGUGUAGGCGGCCAUGCAGGUCAGCUGUGAAAACUCGAGGCUCAACCUCGAGACGUCGGUUGAAACCGUAUGGCUAGAGUCCGGAAGAGGAGAGUGGAAUUCCCGGUGUAGCGGUGAAAUGCGCAGAUAUCGGGAGGAACACCGGUGGCGAAGGCGGUUCUCUGGGCCUUACCUGACGCUGAGGAGCGAAAGCGUGGGGAGCGAACAGG
rnacentral:rRNA from 1 species